rnacentral:rRNA from 1 species
CCUACGGGAGGCAGCAGUGGGGAAUAUUGGACAAUGGGGGGAACCCUGAUCCAGCGACGCCGCGUGAGUGAAGAAGUAUUUCGGUAUGUAAAGCUCUAUCAGCAGGGAAGAAAGAAAUGACGGAACCUGACUAAGAAGCCCCGGCUAACUACGUGCCAGCAGCCGCGGUAAUACGUAGGGGGCAAGCGUGAUCCGGAUUUACUGGGUGUAAAGGGAGCGUAGACGGCGAUGCAAGUCUGAAGUGAAAGGCGGGGGCCCAACCCCUGGACUGCUUUGGAAACUGUAUGGCUGGAGUGCAGGAGAGGUAAGUGGAAUUCCUAGUGUAGCGGUGAAAUGCGUAGAUAUCAGGAGGAACACCAGUGGCGAAGGCGGCCUGCUGGACUGCAACUGACGUUGAGGCCCGAAAGCGUGGGGAGCAAACAGGAUUAGAUACCCGGGUAGUC